GCUGGGUGUUGGUGGCGCACGCCUUUAAUCCCAGCACUCGGGAGGCAGAGGCAGGAGGAUCUCUGUGAGUUCGAGGCCAGCCUGGUCUCCAGAGCGAGUGCCAGGACAGCCUCCAAAGCCACAGAGAAACCCUGUCUCGAAAAACAGGGAAAAAAGAGUCCUGACUAGAAAUGGGGAGCUAGCUUAGUUGACAAUGCAUUUUGAGACAGGGUUUCUCUGUGUAGCUUUGGAGCCUAUCCUGGCCCUCGCUCUGGAGACCAGGCUGGCCUGGAACUCACAGAGAUCUACCUGCCUCUG
rnacentral:sRNA from 1 species